GCCAGAGGUGCCAAGCGUUAGGCGGAAUCACUGGGCUUAAAGCGUGUGUAGGCGGAUUUGUAAGUACCUUGUGAAAUCCCACGGCUCAACCGUGGAACUGCUCGGUAUACUGCUUAUCUUGAGCCACUUAGGGGCUACCGGAACAAAUGGUGGAGCGGUGAAAUGCGUAGAUAUCAUUUGGAACGCCAAUGGUGAAAACAGGUAGCUGGGAGUGUGCUGACGCUGAGACACGAAAGCCAGGGGAGCGAACGGG
rnacentral:rRNA from 1 species